rnacentral:piRNA from 1 species
UGGCUGUGCUCAACCUGUAUCAUCUUGU